GAAAUUCAUAAAAUACACCGAAAUACAUUGAAAUACGAUAAAAAUAGUGAAUACAAUGAAAUACAUGGAAUACAACGAGAUACACUGAAUUACAAUGAAAAAAGACAAUGAAUACAAUGAAAUACAUGAAAAUGCAGUGUGAUACGUUGAAAAUACACGAAAAUAUAUUAAUAGAAAAUCAAGUUGCUCAACCCAAACUCCAUCGUUUUUGUUCAAGAACCAACCCUAAUUUCCGGCGAAUCCGCCGUCGAGCAAAUACCCUCAACUCUUUCAAGUUGCCCAGCCCCAAAUUCCGUUGUCUUUGUUCAAGAACAAUCCUAACGUCGUCUCAUCAAGAGGGCCGCGAUUCUAACUCGAAACUCUCAAAAUUUGAAGCAUAGUUGGUCUUGAAGAUCUUUGCCCCUGCUGCUUCGUUCAUCGGUGGUGCCUCUGUGAAACAUGUCAUUUUUUGAAUUUGGGGCUUUUUUCUGAUUUUUUAAAAGUAGAAAGCAAGAAGAAGGAGAAAGCUUAUAGGUUUUUGGUGGUGUAUAAGAGAAUAGCAAGGAAGAAAAAGAGGAGAAGAAAUCAGCAAAAAUCUGAAAGAAUUAAAGAGAAAAAUAAUACAAAGAGUAUUUUAUGGCUCAAGGGUAGGAGGUAAUCAUAAAUAGAUAUUUGCCUAUAAAAAUUAAAAGGUAGCUAUGGAAUAUAAAUUUUUUAAAGGGUAUUUAUUUAAAAUAAAUAAAGUAUCAACAUUUGAUAUAGGAGGUAAAAAUUUCAAUUUUUUAGCUCAUAGGUCUAUUUGGGUUGAAGCCAAGUUAAUCCAUCCUUUAUUAUGGCACAUUUUGACCCAUGAAAUAGCUCAAAUACAAUCCAUGAAGCUCAUCCAAAACAAAGGGAUCUCAACCCAACUGAAGGCUUGUCUGAAAAUUUACUUAGUUAUCCCAUCAUUAGUUUAUGUAUCUAAAUUUAAAAUUGAGAAUCAAGAUACUUAAGUUUUAAUGUAAGUAUGAAUAAUUUUGUAACUGAAUUGUGGUGAAAUAACAUAAGAAAUAUUUUUCAACUUACAAAUUUAAACACUAAUUUACUAUUUAAGAAAAUAUAUUUUGAUAAUACUAGUAGUAGUAUUAUUAUUAUUUUUGGAAAAGAGGGAGUACUUCUUAAGUAGGCAGUAGGGCUUUUUCUGUUACAUAGUAAGAACAAAUAAUAAUUACAUAAAUAGAUAUAAAUUAAAGUUUGUACAGAAAAUUAUAUGGGUUGUUUUUCUUUAAAGGAUUUAAUCAACAAAGUUAUCUGAAAAUUUUGUGUAGCUGAAAGGCUCUUUUCUCGAUGAAUUGUUUAUGGAACAAUUGCAACACACAAAAAAAAGGACUUCAACUAGCUAAACAUUUAUCUUUCACAAAUAUUUUCUGAAAUAUUGUCUCUUUUUUUUCAACUGUUAUUUUUUCUUUUUGCUUUUAUUCUUUUUUCUUAUACGCUUUUAAAUAUUAUUUAAUUUUAGAAAGUUAUAAAAGCUUACGAAUAGUUGAGUAUAAGAUUAAUCGAUAUGUGUUUCUUAGCUAAAAGUUUAAAUUAGAUAUAUAUCAAUUCAUCGUCACCGCAGAUAAAUAAAUUGGGAAGAAGCUAAGAAAGUAGGGAGCAUACUUAUGUAUAUAAAGGUAAAAGACUUUAUUUACGUAAGAUGGACAUGGUUUUAAAAUAUGGGUCAAGUUACGCGAGUUUGGCUAUGACCUGUUAUUUAGCUCAUUUUGACCUCACCCAUCUUAGUCCAAGUGCACUUUGGACUGGAUUAGAUAAUGACUCAUUUAUUAACUCAACCCGUCAUAACCCGCACAAAAGUUCAGCCCAACUCGCUCAUUUGCCACUAUAUCUAUUAUGCAUACUGUCACACCUACUUUUUCCGGCACCGCGAGGGUACAAGGGAGUUUUUUCAAUUAAAUGACAAUCGGAACGAGAUUUGGUUAUUAAUUAUUCAGAGUCGCCUCUUGGGAGAUUAAUGGUGUCCCAAGUCACCUAUUCAAUCCCGAACCGAGAAAAAAGAUGACUCUGUUCACAGUCUGCGAACCAAAAUCCGGAUAAAAAAUUUUUUUUAACUCAGGAGAAGAUGUUAGGCAUUUUCGGAUUUCAUGGUUUUAUGAACUGUUGUCUUUAUAUGUCUUUUCCCUUCAACACCAAGUUUGCUUUGAAAUACAAGAUUAUAUAUAAUAGUGUGUUAUUGGCUUUUGGUAAAUCAUAACACCCUCAAUAAGCCAGUUCAAAAUAAGUAAUUUUUUGGAUAUUUUCAUACAGAUUAAGAAACUCACCUUUUAGUAUUAAUUAGCAAUGAAAUUGACCAUAUUAACAUUUACUAUCUCAUAUAAAUAUUUUUAACACAUAUUCCAAUACGAUUUACUCCAAGGACAAUGUAGGAAAAAAAUAAUUAAUUUACUCUUAAAAUCCGAAAAAAUUACUUAUUUUGAAUUACAAAACAAUACCAAAAAAUUAUUUAUUUUGGACCGAAGGAAUUACAAUUUUAAAAACAGAUAUUGUUGUGAUUUACGGAGAAUUUACAGAGAAGCUUUUAGGAAGAAGAAGAAGACAACAUAAUCAUUGAGAGAGAGAUGACGAUAUAUAGUCCAAAAUUCUGUAAAUUCAACUGACUAGUGGAGGCUAAUUAAGUACAUACAUUUAUAUACUAGUAACUCCUAAUUGUGUAAAUUAAUUAACUAGCUUCCUAACUAUUAACGGCUAAUAACAACCUACUGAUACAAGGACUAAAAUAUCCUUAUAUAAUUUAACAUUCCCCCUCAAGUUAGGUGGUGGAAAAAUAUUGAUCACGCCUAGCUUGGAUUUUAAAUAUUCAUGGCUGAAACGAACAAAACAAUGAGAACCAAAAACGGUUAAAGGGUUAAUUGUGUGACA
rnacentral:lncRNA from 1 species